rnacentral:rRNA from 1 species
UUCCAGGCAAAUCCGGAAAACUAAGGCUGAGGCGUGAUGACGAGGCACUACGGUGCUGAAGCAACAAAUGCCCUGCUUCCAGGAAAAGCCUCUAAGCAUCAGGUAACAUCAAAUCGUACCCCAAACCGACACAGGUGGUCAGGUAGAGAAUACCAAGGCGCUUGAGAGAACUCGGGUGAAGGAACUAGGCAAAAUGGUGCCGUAACUUCGGGAGAAGGCACGCUGAUAUGUAGGUGAAGCGACUUGCUCGUGGAGCUGAAAUCAGUCGAAGAUACCAGCUGGCUGCAACUGUUUAUUAAAAACACAGCACUGUGCAAACACGAAAGUGGACGUAUACGGUGUGACGCCUGCCCGGUGCCGGAAGGUUAAUUGAUGGGGUUAGCGGUAACGCGAAGCUCCUGAUCGAAGCCCCGGUAAAC